UGCCUCAUCGACCGGAAGGAAUCCUUUCCGGUCGAUGAGGUCGUUAUACCUCAUCGAUUGGAAGGAAAUCCUUUUGGUCGAUGAGGUAUAACAACCUCAUUGACCGGAAGGGAUUCCUUCCAGUCGAUGGGGUU
rnacentral:miRNA from 1 species